UACGGAGGUGGCAAGCGUUGUUCGGAAUUACUGGGCGUAAAGGGCGCGUAGGCGGCUUGGCAAGUCAGAUGUGAAAGCCCCGGGCUUAACUCGGGAAUUGCAUCUGAAACUGCCUUGCUUGAGUCCUGGAGGGGUAGUGGAAUUCCCAGGUGUAGCGGUGAAAUGCGUAGAUAUUGGGAGGAACACCAGCGGCGAAGGCGGCUACCUGGACAGUGACUGACGCUGAGGCGCGAAAGCUAGGGGAGCGAACGGGG
rnacentral:rRNA from 1 species